GGCGGACGGGUGAGUAACACGUGGGCAACCUGCCUGUAAGACUGGGAUAACUUCGGGAAACCGGAGCUAAUACCGGAUAACUCUUAUCAACUCAUGUUGGUAAGCUAAAAGACGGUUUCGGCUGUCACUUACAGAUGGGCCCGCGGCGCAUUAGCUAGUUGGUGAGGUAACGGCUCACCAAGGCAACGAUGCGUAGCCGACCUGAGAGGGUGAUCGGCCACACUGGGACUGAGACACGGCCCAGACUCCUACGGGAGGCAGCAGUAGGGAAUCUUCCGCAAUGGACGAAAGUCUGACGGAGCAACGCCGCGUGAGUGAUGAAGGUUUUCGGAUCGUAAAACUCUGUUGUUAGGGAAGAACAAGUACGAGAGUAACUGCUCGUACCUUGACGGUACCUAACCAGAAAGCCACGGCUAACUACGUGCCAGCAGCCGCGGUAAUACGUAGGUGGCAAGCGUUGUCCGGAAUUAUUGGGCGUAAAGCGCGCGCAGGCGGUCCUUUAAGUCUGAUGUGAAAGCCCACGGCUCAACCGUGGAGGGUCAUUGGAAACUGGGGGACUUGAGUGCAGGAGAGAAGAGUGGAAUUCCACGUGUAGCGGUGAAAUGCGUAGAGAUGUGGAGGAACACCAGUGGCGAAGGCG
rnacentral:rRNA from 1 species